UUUUAGUCGAGAGUUUGAUCCUGGCUCAGAAUCAACGCUGGCGGCGUGCCUCAGACAUGCAAGUCGAACGGUUAAGACUCCCUUCGGGGAGUGUAUAAAGUGGCG
rnacentral:rRNA from 1 species